GAUGAACGCUAGCGGCAGGCCUAAUACAUGCAAGUCGAGGGGCAGCACAGGGUAGCAAUACCUGGGUGGCGACCGGCAAACGGGUGCGGAACACGUACAGAACCUUCCUUCGAGCGGGGAAUAGCCCAGAGAAAUUUGGAUUAAUACCCCAUAGUAUAGUGGUGUGGCAUCACACUGUUAUUAAAGAUUUAUCACUUGAAGAUGGCUGUGCGUAUGAUUAGGUAGUUGGCGGGGUAACGGCCCACCAAGCCUACGAUCAUUAACUGGUGUGAGAGCACGACCAGUCACACGGGCACUGAGACACGGGCCCGACUCCUACGGGAGGCAGCAGUAAGGAAUAUUGGUCAAUGGACGCAAGUCUGAACCAGCCAUGCCGCGUGGAGGAUGAAGGUCCUCUGGAUUGUAAACUUCUUUUAUCUGGGACGAAAAAAGGCCUUUCUAGGUCGUCUGACGGUACCAGAUGAAUAAGCACCGGCUAACUCCGUGCCAGCAGCCGCGGUAAAAC
rnacentral:rRNA from 1 species